rnacentral:rRNA from 1 species
UACGUAGGGGGCUAGCGUUGUCCGGAAUCAUUGGGCGUAAAGCGCACGUAGGCGGCUUGGCAAGUCGGAUGUGAAAUCCCUCGGCUCAACCAAGGAAGUGCAUCCGAAACUGCUGAGCUUGAGUACUUAAGAGGAUCGCGGAAUUCCCGGUGUAGAGGUGAAAUUCGUAGAUAUCGGGAGGAACACCGAUGGCGAAGGCAGCUCGCUGGGACGGUACUGACGCUGAGGCGCGAAAGCGUGGGGAGCAAACAGG